rnacentral:misc_RNA from 1 species
UUUCCGUAGGUGAACCUGCGGAAGGAUCAUUAUCGAAUUUCGAGGGGAAGGAAGAUGAGGAGUGGAGGCUGUCGCUGGCUUUCCCGCCUGGGAAGCAUGUGCACGCCUUGCUUUUCGUUGACCUUUCUCUUACUCUCACACCUGUGCACCCAUUGUAGGUCCUCGAAAGAGGAUCUAUGUUUUUAUCAUCACACGCAUCGUAUGUCCAUAGAAUGUAACAUGAUCGUCGAUCGACCUCGCGGUCGGGUGGCGGUCUAAAUAAAUAAAUACAACUUUCAGCAACGGAUCUCUUGGCUCUC